GGAGAGUUGUCCGAGCGGUUUAUGGUGCGGAUCUCGAAAGUCCGUGCAGGCUAAUUACCUGCCGAGGGUUCGAAUCCCUCACUCUCCG
rnacentral:tRNA from 2 species